UCCCGUAGCUCCCCAAAGUCAGUGGCGGAGCCGGCUUAACACUCCAGACGUAGUAGCUUUUACACAUCGCCUGUAGCCUAAGCCCGGCGCCCUGCCGUAAAACACCCCCCAAUGUAUAGGUUGACCUCGGAUCAGGUAGGAAUACCCGCUGAACUUAAGCAUAUCAAUAAGCGGAGGAAAAGAAACCAACAGGGAUUGCCCUAGUAACGGCGAGUGAAGCGGCAACAGCUCAAAUUUGAAAUCUGGCCCUCGGGUCCGAGUUGUAAUUUGCAGAGGAUGCUUUUGGCGCGGUGCCUUCCGAGUUCCCUGGAACGGGACGCCUUAGAGGGUGAGAGCCCCGUACGGUUGGACACCAAGCCUCUGUAAAGCUCCUUCGACGAGUCGAGUAGUUUGGGAAUGCUGCUCUAAAUGGGAGGUAAAUUUCUUCUAAAGCUAAAUAUUGGCCAGAGACCGAUAGCGCACAAGUAGAGUGAUCGAAAGAUGAAAAGCACUUUGAAAAGAGGGUUAAACAGCACGUGAAAUUGUUGAAAGGGAAGCGUUUGCGACCAGACCUCUUCCCGGCGGAUCAUCCGGUGGUUUCCACCGGUGCACUUCGCCGGGUCGAGGCCAGCAUCGGUCUCUGCAGGGGGAUAAAAGCCCUGGGAACGUAGCUCCUCCGGGAGUGUUAUAGCCCUUCGCAUAAUACCCUUGCGGGGACCGAGGACCGCGC
rnacentral:rRNA from 1 species